rnacentral:rRNA from 1 species
AAUAGUGGCGCACGGGUGCGUAACGCGUAGCCAACCUACCCGAAUCUGGGGGAUAGCCCGCCGAAAGGCGGAUUAAUACCGCAUAAGACUAUAAACUGGCAUCGGUUAGUAGUUAAAGAUUUAUUGGAUUCGGAUGGGGCUGCGUGCCAUUAGCUAGUUGGGGGGGUAACGGCCCACCAAGGCGACGAUGGCUAGGGGAGCUGAGAGGCUGGUCCCCCACACGGGCACUGAGAUACGGGCCCG